rnacentral:rRNA from 1 species
ACGCUCGACACCUACGGGAGCAGCAGUGAGGAAUAUUGGUCAAUGGGCGCUAGCCUGAACCAGCCAAGUAGCGUGAAGGAUGAAGGCUCUAUGGGUCGUAAACUUCUUUUAUAUAAGAAUAAAGUGCAGUAUGUAUACUGUUUUGUAUGUAUUAUAUGAAUAAGGAUCGGCUAACUCCGUGACAGCAGCCGCGGUAAUCUGAGCGGGCUGGCAAGGC